rfam:Stentor coeruleus isolate WM001 SteCoe_contig_92, whole genome shotgun sequence.
GCUCCAGUAGCUCAGUAGGCAGAGCAUUGGUCUUAUGAGCCAAAGGUCGUGAGUUCGAUCCUCACUUGGAGCA